UACGUAGGGUGCAAGCGUUAAUCGGAAUUACUGGGCGUAAAGCGUGCGCAGGCGGUGAUGUAAGACAGAUGUGAAAUCCCCGGGCUCAACCUGGGAACUGCAUUGUGACUGCAUCGCUGGAGUGCGGCAGAGGGGGAUGGAAUUCCGCGUGUAGCAGUGAAAUGCGUAGAUAUGCGGAGGAACACCGAUGGCGAAGGCAAUCCCCUGGGCCUGUACUGACGCUCAUGCACGAAAGCGUGGGGAGCAAACAGG
rnacentral:rRNA from 1 species